AUGAACGCUAGCUACAGGCUUAACACAUGCAAGUCGAGGGGCAGCAUUUCAGUUUGCUUGCAAACUGGAGAUGGCGACCGGCGCACGGGUGAGUAACACGUAUCCAACCUGCCGAUAACUCGGGGAUAGCCUUUCGAAAGAAAGAUUAAUACCCGAUGGUAUAAUCAGACCGCAUGGUCUUGUUAUUAAAGAAUUUCGGUUAUCGAUGGGGAUGCGUUCCAUUAGGCAGUUGGUGAGGUAACGGCUCACCAAACCUUCGAUGGAUAGGGGUUCUGAGAGGAAGGUCCCCCACAUUGGAACUGAGACACGGUCCAAACUCCUACGGGAGGCAGCAGUGAGGAAUAUUGGUCAAUGGGCGCAGGCCUGAACCAGCCAAGUAGCGUGAAGGAUGACUGCCCUAUGGGUUGUAAACUUCUUUUAUAUGGGAAUAAAGUUUUCCACGUGUGGAAUUUUGUAUGUACCAUAUGAAUAAGGAUCGGCUAACUCCGUGCCAGCAGCCGCGGUAAUACGGAGGAUCCGAGCGUUAUCCGGAUUUAUUGGGUUUAAAGGGAGCGUAGGUGGACAGUUAAGUCAGUUGUGAAAGUUUACGGCUCAACCGUAAAAUUGCAGUUGAUACUGGCUGUCUUGAGUACAGUAGAGGUGGGCGGAAUUCGUGGUGUAGCGGUGAAAUGCUUAGAUAUCACGAAGAACUCCGAUUGCGAAGGCAGCUCACUGGACUGCAACUGACACUGAUGCUCGAAAGUGUGGGUAUCAAACAGGAUUAGAUACCCUGGUAGUCCACACAGUAAACGAUGAAUACUCGCUGUUUGCGAUAUACAGUAAGCGGCCAAGCGAAAGCAUUAAGUAUUCCACCUGGGGAGUACGCCGGCAACGGUGAAACUCAAAGGAAUUGACGGGGGCCCGCACAAGCGGAGGAACAUGUGGUUUAAUUCGAUGAUACGCGAGGAACCUUACCCGGGCUUAAAUUGCAUUUGAAUAUAUUGGAAACAGUAUAGCCGUAAGGCAAAUGUGAAGGUGCUGCAUGGUUGUCGUCAGCUCGUGCCGUGAGGUGUCGGCUUAAGUGCCAUAACGAGCGCAACCCUUAUCUUUAGUUACUAACAGGUCAUGCUGAGGACUCUAGAGAGACUGCCGUCGUAAGAUGUGAGGAAGGUGGGGAUGACGUCAAAUCAGCACGGCCCUUACGUCCGGGGCUACACACGUGUUACAAUGGGGGGUACAGAAGGCAGCUACCUGGUGACAGGAUGCUAAUCCCAAAAGCCUCUCUCAGUUCGGAUCGAAGUCUGCAACCCGACUUCGUGAAGCUGGAUUCGCUAGUAAUCGCGCAUCAGCCAUGGCGCGGUGAAUACGUUCCCGGGCCUUGUACACACCGCCCGUCAAGCCAUGAAAGCCGGGGGUACCUGAAGUACGUAACCGCAAGGAGCGUCCUAGGGUAAAACUGGUAAUUGGGGC
rnacentral:rRNA from 1 species